AACGCUGGCGGCGCGCCUAACACAUGCAAGUCGAACGGUGACGAGAGCUUCGGCUCUCUGAUCAGUGGCGGACGGGUGAGUAACACGUGAGCAACCUGCCUAUCAGAGGGGGACAACAGUUGGAAACGACUGCUAAUACCGCAUAACGUUACGGAAUCGCAUGUUUCUGUAACCAAAGAUUUAUUGCGUAAGGAUGGGCUCGCGUUGGAUUAGGUAGUUGGUGAGGUAAACGGCCCACCAAGCCUACGAUCCAUAGCCGGACUGAGAGGUUGAACGGCCACAUUGGAACUGAGAAACGGUCCAGACUCCUACGGGAGGCAGCAGUGGGGAAUAUUGGGCAAUGGGCGAAAGCCUGACCCAGCGACGCCGCGUGCGGGAAGAAGGUCUUCGGAUUGUAAACCGCUUUUAUUAGGGACGAAGAAUGACGGUACCUAAUGAAUAAGCCACGGCUAACUACGUG
rnacentral:rRNA from 1 species